UACGGGGGGGGCAAGCGUUGUUCGGAAUUACUGGGCGUAAAGGGCUCGUAGGUGGCCAACUAAGUCAGACGUGAAAUCCCUCGGCUUAACCGGGGAACUGCGUCUGAUACUGGAUGGCUUGAGUUCGGGAGAGGGAUGCGGAAUUCCAGGUGUAGCGGUGAAAUGCGUAGAUAUCGUUUGGAACGCCAAUGGUGAAAACAGCUUGCUGGGGAUGUGCUGACGCUGAGACACGAAAGCCAGGGGAGCGAACGGG
rnacentral:rRNA from 1 species